UCGACGGGGUGAGCAGGACGGAGCGCGGCCCGCGGCGGAGGGUGCUGCGAGCACGAUCAUCUGUCACUGCUGCUUGGGCACUUUGAAGUCCUAUAGAGAUGUGGUGGUUUCAGCAAGGACUCAGCUUUCUCCCUUCAGCCCUUGUUAUUUGGACAGCUGCUGCUUUCAUCUUUUCGUACAUUACUGCGAUAACUCUUCACCAUGUGGAUCCUGCAUUGCCCUAUAUCAGUGACACUGGAACAGUGGCUCCAGAAAAAUGCUUGUUUGGGGUAAUGUUAAAUAUCGCUGCAGUCUUGUGUGUUGCCACCGUAUAUGUUCGUUAUAAGCAAGUUCAUGCUCUCAGUCCCGAGGAGCCUCGGAUCAUCAAAUUAAACAAGGCUGGCCUUGCACUUGGAUUACUUAGUUGCUUAGGACUUUCUGUCGUGGCAAACUUCCAGAAAACAACAGUCUUUGCUGCACACAUAUGUGGAGCUGUGCUCACUUUUGGCCUGGGAUCCUUUUAUAUGUUUGUUCAGACAAUCCUCUCCUACAAAAUGCAGCCUAAAAUUCAUAGCAAACAGAUCUUCUGGAUCCGGCUGAUGGUGGUCAUCUGGUGUGGAGUAAGUGCAUUUAGUAUGCUGACUUGCUCCUCCCUUUUAUACAGUGGCCAUUUUGGGUCUGAUAUAGUACAGAAGCUCCAUUGGAACCCUGAGGACAAAGGAUAUGUACUUCAUAUCAUCACCACUGCAGCAGAAUGGUCCAUGUCUUUUUCUUUCUUUGGUUUUUUCCUGACUUAUAUUCGUGAUUUUCAGAAAAUUUCCUUACGUGUAGAAGCUAAUUUACAAGGACUGACUCUUUAUGACACUGCCCCUGGCCUUAUUAACAGUGAAAGAACCCAUCUACUUUCAAAGGAUACAUGACAAAGGAAGAAGCCAUAUCUGUGAUGAUUAUGAUUCUCAGGGAUUGGCAGAUUGUUCCUGAAAAUGGAAGCAACUGGAAGAACACAGAACAUUAUGCAGAAACCAGUUUUUUACAGGACGCUCUGCGGAAAAAAGUUUUUCACAGCUUGCAAAUCAUUACAGUGCAUGUUUUGUCUGGAGCACCAUAUAUCUGGUACAGUUCACAGGGAAGUCUCCGAAACAGUAAGGUUUUCUUAGCACUGAAAUACCAAAUGGAGCAGAAGAAACUACAAGAAUAUCUCACAGACCAACAUGAGCGAUCAGAACAGUGGCAUUUAAGCCCUUAGCAUGGACAAGUGGGUAAAGUAAAGCAUUUGAGAAAGAUAUUUCAUGCUCUGCUUCUAAGAUCUGAGUUGUUGAUUAUGACCUAGGGAGAGCACCUAGGAGUCACUAGAACCUGUUUCCUGAAAACAUUCCCGGUAUUAUGUCGUAUAAGAAAAGGUCAGUAAAGCCCUUAUGUUAUAAGGACACACUGGAAACAAAACAGUAAACACCACAUUAAAUAAAACCCUGAAUCUACAUCUGGAAAACACAAUGUGGUUCUGAUUGCUACCUCUUCAAGAAAAUUCCAAGUGAGCUGUAGCCCAGAGAAGAGCAGCUCAGAUGAUCCAUGAAUGAAAAAGCUUCUGGAUGAGGAAAAUCUAUAAAAAACCUUAGGACUUGAGUCUGGAAAGAAUGAAGGCUGAGGGGGCAAGUGUUAUCAGUUUAUGAAAUCUGGAAUGCUCUGGAUAGACGGGAGACAUCUGAAUGUGUUCUCAUGAAAUAUUGAAGCUCUCCUUGAUGUCUGAAAGAGGUAGCUCUAAGAUGAAUAAAAAGGAAGGAUACUUUUAAGAAUGUGUAAUAAAUUUAUGGAACUUAUUAUUCCUAGGAAUAAUAAAGGCUAAAGAAAAGAAUAUGUUCAAGAAGAAAUUUUAGAUAAAUGACAUGGUAGAUUAUAAUGAGUUAUAGAAGCAUGUUAGUAAAGUUUGGGAAUAUAUCCUUAACCUUUUCAGAUGAGCAUUGAAAAAGAUAAUCCUGCCUUUUCUCAAAGCAUCCCUGGUGCAAAUAUUCACUAAUGCACAUUUGAGAGAAACAAAGUAAUCUGGAAUGGACGAUGGACCAGCCUGUUGAGGCUUCACUGGCAACACUUAUACCCACACAGUGUUUUCAUGUACUGCAUUCAGAGCAAAGUCUUUUAAGUUAAUGAAGAUGGCAGCACACACAUAUUUUUAAUGAAUUCUCAACCUUUUCCUGUUACAGACAUCAACCCUAUUUGCUUCUUAACACUUGCUUCAAGAACCAAUAUACAGGUGGAAGAGAUGAAAAAAAUUACUGGAUUAAGUUUGAGGGAAGAAAGAAAGCAAGAGGGUAAUGUAGCUGUCUCAUCGACUCAGCAAUGGGCAGUUAACAAGAACAAAAGGACAAGAACAGCUGCUGUGUAUGAGCAAUAUGGAAACAGACAUUGUCAUUGCUGACCAUUUAUGACCACUCCAAACCUGUGUACUAUGUGAUUGAGCCUGAUGUUGAAUCCCUUGGUUCCGUUUCUCAAAUAUUGCUUCCUAAAUAACCUGUGUUGGAAGGGGAUUGCUUUUUCCUGGGUGGAUCUCUUGGUGACUUAACCUUCAGUGAGACACUGCCCUCACUGGUGUAAACUGUCCACUCGAGAUUCCUUAAUGAACAAAGCCUCAGCCCCUUUCCCAGUGUUCCACAAUCAUGUUUGGAUAACAUUUCCAAUCCAAGAAUAGUUGACAAGUUCCCAGGAAAUAAUUCCUGAUCAAUAAAAUGUUGUUUGAGCAA